GGUUAAGGAUCCAUGAGUGGAUUCAGAUGAACGGCCCUGUGAAAUCAAUCGCAUGAAGCAUUUUAUAAGGCUGUAUAUUUCUACAAUUCUCUGGAGAAUCAAUUCAGGGCUUUAAAAGGAUUUUCCAAGAGCCAGUGACUCUCCAAACAUGAAUGGGAUUAAGCAGUCAACCAGGCCCUUCUGAAGACCAACAUGGCAGAACGUUGCUCAAGAAAUCUGCAUACCAGCCAGGACCAAGGAGAAUCUCAACACAGAAACAUGAGGGAGGUGUCUCUUGGGUACUGACCAUGAGAACCCAUUGGAGUUCUAGCAGGUUCAUCUUCACACUGAGAGAAUGGAAAAGUUGCAGAGAUAAUCAUAGAAUAAAUGGAACUAGAAAUCUCAGAUCAUCUAAGAUAAGCACCUGUAGAUAAAGAAACAGACCCAGAUAUGUUCUUCUAUAAAUGUACAGGGCAUUUUGAGAAGGACCAAGACAAAUCACUGGGGGCUUAAGAGAAAUCUGUGGGUUUUAGCAUUUAAUGCAGGGAAAUCUGAGUUGGAACUGAGGGUUGACUGGCAGAAAAGUGUCUGUCUCAAAGAUAAUUAAUUAAUGGACCAGAGGGCCUGGGAUUUAGCUCAGUGGUUCCCCUGCCUGCCUCGCAAGCACAAGGUCCCAAGUUCGAAACGAUCAUUUUAUCCUCCAUGUCAAGAUUAGUAACAGAAAGGGAGAAAAGAAA
rnacentral:lncRNA from 1 species